AAAUUUAUCUAAGAAAUAAUGAGUUUAAACAAAAUGAGAGAAUAUACAAUGGAUAUAGUUUUGAAUUUUGUAGAUUUUUUUCCCCGAAUAUGAACUUAGUUUUUAUAUUUUCAUUUUCCUAUAAGUACUACAGAAAGAAAGCAUAUGGUGUUCUCUAGGCUUGCAUGAAUAAAUUUGGAAUAAAUUGUUCAUGAUGUAUUUCCCUAUUUCUAUUGUAGUGAAUGUUAUGGACCUGUCUAAUAAAGGAAAUUGAAUUAGAUUAAAAAACGCCUUGUGCAAACAUGAUGCUUUGGUAGAUUUGGACGGGCCUGUAUAAUUACGUGGGAGAACAUAUCCUUGAGAAAUGACGUCUUUUCCUCUAGUGCUCUAUAUGCAGCAUCAAUUGCAUAUACAUUUAAUAUGUUGCGUGUUUGUGCUAGAGCAUGAAGUGGGCCGGCCCGAGGUCAGCCCAGGCUUGGCCUGUUACCCAAGUCCCUAUCCCUGGCCAGUGCUCACUAAGCCCUGAAUGUGCUUAUCCCUUUUAAAAAAGUUGUUUACCAGAAAAAUGGCAGCAUCUUCUUUCGAACGAGCGUUAAAUCAGCAAUCACAUCUGAACAAAGUAAGAGCAACUAGACACAGCCAAAGCUCGGCUUCAGAAGAUAAAUUCAGAGUAAGACCAGUGGGUAUCCUGUGUCACUUGAAAUUGAGGUAUAUCCUCACAUCCUGUUUAAGAAAAUGCAUAGAAAAUCUCCUCCCUCUCUCUCUCUCUCACACACACACACACACACACACAAUUGGUUUCAAGCACAUUUUCGUUGGUAAUAUGAUGCUUUCGGGACACUUGAUCGGGAGUGAAAUUCUUGGAUGUAUUGGUGAUUGCUGUGAAAUUUUGAAGGCCGGUGAGGAUCAUGGCCAGGGGUACCUCCAAGAUUAACUUUGACUUUGAAUUCCAACAUCAAAUGUGAGAUCUUGUAAUUGUGAACUUAUACUGCAGAGACAUGUAAGUAACAUGAAAUUUGGAACAAAUCGCUCUUAAGAUUCUAUUUGAUGGAAUUUCUUCUAAAUUUUGGUGAAUUGCAAUUUGAUCCCAUUGAAAAGGUUGCAGAAUUCAAUUUUUUCAGCCAAAAUUUAGUGCAAGUUUCAUAGGAAUGUUCCUAUAUGAGAACAUUCCCAUAUAAUUUGAACCUUCUUUUUCUGCGAGGGCAGCUUAGUGUGGGAUUCCCAGGUUCGAAUCUCAUGCUGACCUUUUUAAGUGUGAAAAUAUACUCCUGAUAUUGUUGGACGAUUUUCUAUGCUAGGUAUAAGUAAUUCACUGUAAUCAUCCCUAAGUUCUUAAUGCCCAGUAAAUUUUGUGAAUUUUGGAGUUUAUGAAUUUCCAUGAUCAUGAACCUUAAGAAAUAUGGAUUUCAUUUUGAGCUGUAUUUUCUGACCGUUUUAUUUAGUUCUUCGCUAUUCAUUAAAUCAGCUCAAUUUUGUGUAUAAAGCUGAAAUUGAGUGAUUUACAAGGUGUUUCAUGUAAGAGCAGUGAUACCAAGCCUCCCUCUCUUUCGAUUUAUCAAGACUGAAAAGUGUUGUAAGAAUCCAUUCAAGUACAGGUACCGAGGCUGUGAUUUUAGGUCAUGUAGCCUGCAUUGUACGAAACUACUAAUCACUACGAGAUGCUAUUAAGGUGCGAUGGUAAGAAGAAUCGAGCACACUUCGUGCCUUUGUUAAGGAGACAAGCUGUUGUUUUCAGGCAUCGACCAUUUUGGCGUCAUCACAUCAGGAAGCAGCCAAACAAAUACUGCCCUCUCUAGAUACCAUUUCUCCUUUCCUUCCACAUAAACCAUUUUCUACUUGAGCCCGUACAGAUGUCUGACCUCAAUUAUUGAGGUAGAGUAUCAAGUUGUGCUAGCUAAAUUAUCAAUGUUUUACUCGAUGGCAAACACAAUUGCCAAGCUUAUUUGGGGAUAUUGGAGUUCUACAUGACCCUUAUUAAAAAGGGAAGUUUUAUAAGACAGCUGUAAGACCAACCGUGUUUUAUAAGAUAGAAUGUUGGCCGGUCAGUAAAUGACUUACUAUAAGAUGAAUGUAGUUGAGAUGAUGACAUUGAGAUGGAUGAGUAACAAGACAACAAAGGACAAUGUAUCGAUACUUUCACAUUACAUGUCAAUGUUUUAGACA